rnacentral:rRNA from 1 species
AGUGGCGAACGGGUGAGUAACACGUGAGUAACCUGCCCUUGACUCUGGGAUAAGCCUGGGAAACUGGGUCUAAUACCGGAUAUGACUCCUCAUCGCAUGGUGGGGGGUGGAAAGCUUUUUGUGGUUUUGGAUGGACUCGCGGCCUAUCAGCUUGUUGGUGAGGUAAUGGCUCACCAAGGCGACGACGGGUAGCCGGCCUGAGAGGGUGACCGGCCACACUGGGACUGAGACACGGCCCAGACUCCUACGGGAGGCAGCAGUGGGGAAUAUUGCACAAUGGGCGAAAGCCUGAUGCAGCGACGCCGCGUGAGGGAUGACGGCCUUCGGGUUGUAAACCUCUUUCAGUAGGGAAGAAGCGAAAGUGACGGUACCUGCAGAAGAAGCGCCGGCUAACUACGUGCCAGCAGCCGCGGUAAUACGUAGGGCGCAAGCGUUAUCCGGAAUUAUUGGGCGUAAAGAGCUCGUAGGCGGUUUGUCGCGUCUGCCGUGAAAGUCCGGGGCUCAACUCCGGAUCUGCGGUGGGUACGGGCAGACUAGAGUGAUGUAGGGGAGACUGGAAUUCCUGGUGUAGCGGUGAAAUGCGCAGAUAUCAGGAGGAACACCGAUGGCGAAGGCAGGUCUCUGGGCAUUAACUGACGCUGAGGAGCGAAAGCAUGGGGAGCGAACAGGAUUAGAUACCCUGGUAGUCCAUGCCGUAAACGUUGGGCACUAGGUGUGGGGGGACAUUCCACGUUUUCCGCGCCGUAGCUAACGCAUUAAGUGCCCCGCCUGGGGGAGUACGGCCGCAAGGCUAAAACUCAAAGGAAUUGACGGGG